CCAAUAGCGUAUAUUAAGGUUGCUGCGGUUAAAAAGCUCGUAGUUGAAUUUCGGGAUUGAUGCAUCGGUCGUGCCUUAAGUGGUAUGAACUGGUGUGGUCAAUUUCUUACCUUCUGGUGAAUUGUGAUGUCCUCCUUAAUUGGGUGUUUCAAUGAACUAGGACUUUUUACUUUGAAAAAAUUAGAGAGUUUAAAGCAGGCAUUAUUUGCUUGAAUACAUUAGCAUGGAAUAAUAAAAUAGGACAAUGAUUCUAUUUUGUUGGUUUCUAGGAUCAUUGUAAUGAUUAAUAGGGAUAGUUGGGGGCAUUAGUAUUCAAUUGUCAGAGGUGAAAUUCUUGGAUUAAUUGAAGACUAACUACUGCGAAAGCAUUUGCCAAGGAUAUUUUCAUUAAUCAAGAACGAAAGUGAGGGGAUCGAAGACGAGUAGGUACGUCGUAGUCUUAACCAUAAACUAUGCCGACUAGGAAUCAGACAACGUUAAAUUUUUAAUGACUUGUUUGGCACCUUACG
rnacentral:rRNA from 1 species